CAGAAAAGGGCUUGGUCCUUCCCAUUCCAGAGCUGGAGCUGCCCCUACCAUCUGGGAAUGAGGAAGUAGGAUGGGGGCGGGGGGCUGAGGUCAAGCCUGUCACCCCCAGGGCCUCAGGCUGAGCAUCUGGAUUUCCAGCUGGAAGUGAAUAAGUCCUUGAUGAUACAGGAGGGCUUGUGCAUCCCUGUGUCCUGCGCCAUCUCCUACCCUCGGGAUGGCUGGAAUGCAUCCACACCUGCCUGUGGCUACUGGUUCCAGAAGAGGGACAAGCCUGGUAUGGAAUUUCCUAUGAAGAGGACAAGACGGAAUGUGGGGACCCCAUGGAACCUGAAUGCUACAGACUGGAUGUUGUCCCCUGCAGAUUCAUAUGUUGAAGCCUUAACUCCCCAGCAUUGACUUAUUCAGAGAGUGCUUUUCCAAGAUCAUUGAGAUUCAAUAAAUGCAUAAGGGUGGAGUCCUAAGAUUGAUGGCCUUAUAAGAAGAGGAAGAGAAAGAGCAAUCUCUCUCUCCCCGCCACACUCCCUGCCACAUGCAUGCUAUGAGGAAAGACCUUGUGAAGACACAGCAGGAAGGCAGUUAUCUGUAAGCUAAGAAGGGAGUUCUCACUAGGAACCAAAUUUGUUGACACUGCGAUCUCGGACUUGCCAGCUUCCAGAACCGUGAGAAAUAAAUGUGUUUGUUCAAGUCACCUGGUUGGCAUUUUGUGACAGAAGCUGAGCUGACUAAGACAAGUUCCCAAUCAGCGGUGGGAUUAUUCAAACGAGCCCAUCAGAUCCUCUCGCGGGAACCGGGGGUCAAUUGUGAGCGCAGGUGUGGACUCCAGCAGGAGUGGCAGGAUGACAGAGUGUCAGCCCAGGACGAAGGGAGGUGGGAAAUAGAGCAAGACCUGAAGGCCAGCUGAGGGCACUGUGAAAUGCCAGGUGUCCCAUGAGCAGCGAGGAUGAGGGAAGAGAGUCCAGGCCAUGUCCAGUUGAUCACUUGUGUCCAAAGCAACCUGCUGACGAAGCCUGCAACCCUGCUGCCCCAGCCCGUGUUUCCACCUUCAGGGUCUCCACCAGAUUUGUCUGUGUCUCCCCAGGGCGGGGAGCAUCAGGACAUGAAUAGAGUUGGCUGUGUCUCCUCUUUGCCUCCAGACUCAUCACAGACCAGAUGCUCACUCUGUGUUUGUUGAGUGAAUGAAUGAAGGAGUGAAUGAAUGAAUGGGUGAACUGCUUCCAACAGUUACCUAAGACCCUUACUCAUCUGUUAUGCCCCAGACACCCACACAGAACCACCAACACUCUGUUACCAAACCAAGCUUGGGUCUGCAUAGCAAAGCCAAUCUACUGAUACCAAGAUGUGGUGAAGGAGAGUACAGCAUUUAUUGCAGGGCACCAAGCAGGGAGAAUGAGUAGUUCGUACUCAAACGACCUGAACUCCCCUCCCCAGUGGCUUUCAGAGAAGGUUAGUUUUUUUUUUUUAAUUUUUUUUUGCUGCAUUGGGUCUUCAUUGCUGCACGUGGGC